CGGAAAUGAUGAAAUGGAGAUGGGGUGUAGAAUGCUGUGUGAUGGUAAAUUUUUUGUAUGCAAAUUUAAUAAUUGGUAAAUGCUAGAGUCUCUGGCGACACUCAGCGACACAGAGAGAGAGAGAGAGAGAGAGAGAGAGAGAGAGUGUGCGCGCGUGCGCUCGUGGGGGGGGGGGGAGGCUGCAGAAAGGGGGCACUGACCGGUGCUGCUGAUAUUGGAGUGCAUCUGAGGCUGUUGUAGACACAACACUGCCGAUGAUUAUAACCCAAAAAACAGCUCACCUAAGUAGCCUCACACCCUAAGAUCUCUAACAGGUUCCUUAACGUGGUCCUGUGAUCUGAUCCGA
rnacentral:snoRNA from 1 species